UAAAUUUAUACGACAAGCUAAUCCUGUUGGUAUAUGUAAAAUAGCAAAGCAAAGGUCAAAUACCAGUCAAAACCUGAUUCACGUAAAAUAAGUGAGGUAAGUAGAAUUUAACGAAAUUAAUGGAUCCAAUUACGUGAGUUUAGAUAAAAACUAGAAUAGCAGCAUACAAAAAUAUUGAUGCAAUUUUAAAACGAAAUAGUAAUAUAAACCAAAGAUAAAUAAAAACAGUAACUUCCCUUUCGCAGUUGAAGUAGUUGUGUCAAAUCACCUAGAGUAAAAAGAGGUACCUACAAAUAAUAGAAAAUACGUUUCUUUUCAUUUUUUUUCACCUUUUUUUGUUUAUUUUGUUCUCUCCUUUUUUUUUUCACUUUCUCUCUAUUUUUUGUCCUUUUUUCCCUUCUUUUUCUUUUUUUUUUAAUAUACAAAAUCAAAUAACGGUUACAAAUCAAGGCCCAAACACUAAUAGAUGCCCAAAACUACCAAUCAUUCUACUGUAUACAUAACGAUUGAGGCCAAUCUCCAAAAUACACAAAGUGAGGCCCAAAUACAAACCAUAAGCAGAGCCCAACUAAAUUAAAUACCCACUUCCAUCUCAGGCUAAACCUGUCGACAUAAUCUGUCUUCGGCAAUCGGUAAAAGAUUUUUGGACCAAGUGGAGGUUGAAGGUUGCCGGCGAGGGAGAGGGCCGGCUUUGGGUGUUAACUGGCGACUGAGGUAUGGACGGGGUUUUUGUUGCUGCUUGUGGUGGUUUAUUAUGAUGUAGGGCAGAAGGUCAGCGACGAUGGAGAAAGGAAAUGACGGUGAUAGGGAGGAUGACCGGUGGUUGGUGUCCUUGGAUGUCACGAUUGGAAGCGACGGUUGUGGGAUGGGGUUUUUUGAGGUGUUCCAACAACGGGUUUGGUGUAGUGCUUGCCAUCAAUGAAGGUUGUGGUUUGUAUGGUGUGAAAGUUACAGCAGAUGGGUCUUUGUUUAUGUGGAUUAGUAGGCAUCGACGGGGAACAAAUUUUCAACAGCAAUUUGUGGACAAAAUUAGGUUGGGUUUGUCUAAUUUUGUGAAGUUGCAGUGUUUUGAGCGGUUCAGGAAAAGUGGUAGUGGACAUGAACAUAUGCAGAGAAGGUGGAGGUAUUAAUUGGGUUCUACAUAACGGAUUUGGAGUUAUCACUUUGAAUGGGAUGAUACUUGAUAUGGUUUGUGAGCUAUGGAUUACAGGUAGCUGAACUUUUUAGGUUGUAGAAGCGAUGAAUAGCUGAAAUAUUUCUCAAGUUUAGCUCUGAUACUACUUUGAUGUAGAAAAGGAUGAGAAAUUCAGAAUCUAUACAAGUUGAAGAAACCAGCAGAAGCAGCACAACGCAUACAGUAAAGAAAUAGCUAGAGAAGAAGAAGAAGGGAAGAGAAUGAGAGGGAGGGAGAAAACGUGUAUAUCCC
rnacentral:lncRNA from 1 species